rnacentral:lncRNA from 1 species
GUGAAAGUGAAGAAGCCAUUAAUCUACAUAAUAAAGAACAUUACAUAAGUGAACAACUCAAGAUGAUAUACACAAUUAAAUUAGGACUUUAAUUUUAUUGUGUCUCCCACUAAUUUUAUCAGACAUCAUAACCCUCUAGUAUGAUGUUUGAGAAAAUCCUGAUUGAUUUUCUUAGUGGGAUUGAGGCCCUAAUUCCUUAUAAAAGAUCUUGUGGUUGCACAACAAACCUUUUAUAAGUUUAAAGGUAGAAAACUCUUUCCUAUUGCAUCUCAUGCAAUUCUCAAUAAAAAUCCUGGCCUCUAAAAUAUUAAUAGCCUUAUAUUUACACAACGGACCAUAAUGUUUUAGUUAAGUAGGACCCUUCAUUUUAAUACAGUCAAAAUAGAAUAUAAAUGCUUUUGUGGUUACACAACAAAGCAUUAUACUCAAAAAAUUGCUGUAAGUAUCUCGAUGCGCCAGAACAAUAUUAUGUCAGUUUUCAUAAUUGGUCUUGUGGUUACACAACAAACCUAAUAUGGUUCGUGACAUAGUAAUGUCCUAGCAUGAAGGAAGGCCAUAAUAUAGUGAAUAUAACAUCGAGCAUCCCAGUCAAGAAUUAAAUUAAUCUAAUCAGCCAGGUAAGUGGAAGAG